AAACAAAUAUGAAAUUGAAAUCAAUUUGAAUAUUUUGAUAUGAUAUCUACAAACGAGUCUUUGAAGCUAACAAAUAUUACAUUUUAAUUAAAAGUAAAUUAUAAACUAUCAAUGUUAAGCCCUAAGACUACCUACUUGGUCAUGAAAUAAUUUGUUCCUGUCAUACCCUCACAACACUCAUCCAUCGGUCGCAAAUCCAUGCCUCGAAGCUAUAUCAACGAAUCAAACAAAAUCUCAAUUACUUAACAAAGCAAGCUGCACAAGCACAGCAGCCUCUUGGGGCAUGGCAAACAAAAAAUGCCAGCAGACCUGUUAAAAGACUACCCAAAGCCUCUCUGGAGAUGCUUCCAUGCAAGGGUUUAUCAGCCAUUUGUGGACGUCACAAUCUUGAAAACCAAUGAAGCAGAGCAAUCUUCAUAGAAUCAGAAGACAUCAAAGAAGAAAUUCUUUAUUUCUCAGCUUCAAAUGAAUCAUCCCAGUGCAUCUUUUUGAACUUCUACCAUGAAUUUCAAAAAUAUUAGUUGAUUUACAAAUAAACUCUAGCCUCUGCAGUUCUUUGUUUCACCAAUUAAAUGGUCUCUGCAAAUCAAAUCAACACUCAAUUUCGUCCCUCAUCUUACAAUCCACUUCAUGCCUUAAAAAAAUGUGGAUGCAACUCAACUGAAUCAAUAAGGGCUCCAUCAAUUGAUGACUUCAAGAUGGGGGUUAAGCCAUCACAUCCACAUCAUUCAUCAACAUUGCAGGAAGAGGUUUGCAUUUGAACAGACGACGUUACCAUCACAUCUUCUGAUUCAAUUGUAUUCUCUACAGACAUGUGAUUUCCAUUACAUGAUAUGACUUCUGGAUUCAAAUUCUUGUUAGAAAUUUGAGCUGCACCAGUAUUUUCCUUCACAUAAUCAACUGCCCGCUCAUUGCCCACUUCAAACCCAGAUCCAGGCACAAAACUCUGAUCUGAAUCUGUAGUACCUGGCUGCUGCUUCCUAAGUUCAAAGUCAUUUACAAGAAGUGAGCCUUGAUGAUCCUCAUUUGCAAGCGAUUCUUGCAAUGAAUUUCUCAUAAUUAGAUGUGGGUCAUUAGUUGCUUCCUCAGAAAGCUCAUUCUGAACAUCGUUUUGCACCAUCUCACCUAGAUGUGGGACAUCAUUUUCUGCUUCCUCCGAAAGUUCAUUCUGAACAUCAUUUUGCACCUCAUCCAUUUGAGAGACAUGUCUUCUUGUGGUUAGUACUAGUGGGCAGACAGGAGGGGUACUCUUGCGGCACACAUGGCACCUAAAUCCAAUAAGCUUAUUGAUGUUCUCCAUAUUGAGUCCAAAAGCAUCUCCAUGAAACCACUCUCCACACAUCUGACAAGAAAUAUAAUUCAAGGUAGAUGUAUUUCCAUCUUCACAACAAAGAUGGCAUUUGGGUUGAUCAAGGAUGUCACUUUUGGAAGAAGCAAGAAAACUUCUAAAAUGCAUCACACGUUCAU
rnacentral:misc_RNA from 1 species